rnacentral:rRNA from 1 species
UACGUAGGGUGCAAGCGUUGUCCGGAAUUAUUGGGCGUAAAGAGCUCGUAGGCGGUCUGUCGCGUCGAAUGUGAAAACCCGGGGCUCAACCCCGGGCCUGCAUUCGAUACGGGCAGACUAGAGUUCGGUAGGGGAGUCUGGAAUUCCUGGUGUAGCGGUGAAAUGCGCAGAUAUCAGGAGGAACACCGGUGGCGAAGGCGGGACUCUGGGCCGAUACUGACGCUGAGGAGCGAAAGCGUGGGAGCGAACAGG